CCCGCUGAACUUAAGCAUAUCAAUAAGCGGAGGAAAAGAAACUAACAAGGAUUCCCCUAGUAACUGCGAGUGAAGCGGGAACAGCUCAAAUUUUGAAUCUGGCGGUCUCUGGCCGUCCGAAUUGUAAUCUAGAGAAGUGCUAUCCGCGCUGGACCGUGUACAAGUCUCCUGGAAGGGAGCGUCGUAGAGGGUGAGAAUCCCGUCUCUGACACGGAGCCCCAGUGCUUUGCGAUGCGCUCUCGACGAGUCGAGUUGUUUGGGAAUGCAGCUCUAAUUGGGUGGUAAAUUCCAUCUAAAGCUAAAUACAGGCGAGAGACCGAUAGCGAACAAGUACCGUGAGGGAAAGAUGAAAAGAACUUUGGAAAGAGAGUUAAACAGUACGUGAAAUUGCUGAAAGGGAAACGCUUGAAGUCAGUCGCGUUUGCUUGAGAUCAGCCUUGCUUGAUUGCUUGGUGUAUUCUCUCGCACACGGGUCAGCAUCAAUUUGGGUUGCCGGAUAAAAGCAGAGGGAAAGUGGCACCUUUCGGGGUGUGUUAUAGUCCUUUGUUGUAUACGGUGACUCGGAUUGAGGAACUCAGCACGACCUUCGGGUUUGGGGCUUCGGCCUACAAUUUCGUGCUUAGGAUGCUGGCAUAAUGGCUUUAAGCGACCCGUCUUGAAACACGG
rnacentral:rRNA from 1 species